AGUGAACGCUGGCGGUAGGCCUAACACAUGCAAGUCGAACGGCGGCACAGUAAGAGCUUGCUCUUACGGGUGGCGAGUGGCGGACGGGUGAGGAAUACAUCGGAAUCUACUUUUUCGUGGGGGAUAACGUAGGGAAACUUACGCUAAUACCGCAUACGACCUACGGGUGAAAGCAGGGGAUCUUCGGACCUUGCGCGAUUGAAUGAGCCGAUGUCGGAUUAGCUAGUUGGCGGGGUAAAGGCCCACCAAGGCGACGAUCCGUAGCUGGUCUGAGAGGAUGAUCAGCCACACUGGACCUGAGACACGGUCCAGACUCCUACGGGAGGCAGCAGUGGGGAAUAUUGGACAAUGGGCGCAAGCCUGAUCCAGCCAUACCGCGUGGGUGAAGAAGGCCUUCGGGUUGUAAAGCCCUUUUGUUGGGAAAGAAAAGCAGCAGGUUAAUACCCCGCUGUUCUGACGGUACCCAAAGAAUAAGCACCGGCUAACUUCGUGC
rnacentral:rRNA from 1 species